rnacentral:rRNA from 1 species
GAUGAACGCUGGCGGCGUGCCUAAUACAUGCAAGUCGAGCGAACGGACGAGAAGCUUGCUCCUCUGAUGUUAGCGGCGGACGGGUGAGUAACACGUGGAUAACCUACCUAUAAGACUGGGAUAACUUCGGGAAACCGGAGCUAAUACCGGAUAAUAUUUUGAACCGCAUGGUUCAAAAGUUAAAGACGGUCUUGCUGUCACUUAUAGAUGGAUCCGCGCUGCAUUAGCUAGUUGGUAAGGUAACGGCUUACCAAGGCAACGAUGCAUAGCCGACCUGAGAGGGUGAUCGGCCACACUGGAACUGAGACACGGUCCAGACUCCUACGGGAGGCAGCAGUAGGGAAUCUUCCGCAAUGGGCGAAAGCCUGACGGAGCAACGCCGCGUGAGUGAUGAAGGUCUUCGGAUCGUAAAGCUCUGUUAUUAGGGAAGAACAUAUGUGUAAGUAACUGUGCACAUCUUGACGGUACCUAAUCAGAAAGCCACGGCUAACUACGUG